rnacentral:tRNA from 1 species
UCCUCCGUGGCGCAAUUGGCUAGCGCGUUCGACUGUUAAAUAACAGUUUCAUCGAGAGGUUGGUGGUUCGAGCCCACCCGGGGGAG